AACGAACGCUGGCGGCAGGCCUAACACAUGCAAGUCGAACGCACCGCAAGGUGAGUGGCGCACGGGUGAGUAACACGUGGGAAUGUAUCCUUUGGUUCGGAAUAACGUUUGGAAACGGACGCUAAUACCGGAUGAGCCCUAUGGGGGAAAGAUUUAUCGCCGAAGGAGCAGCCCGCGUCUGAUUAGGUAGUUGGUGGGGUAAAGGCCUACCAAGCCGACGAUCAGUAGCUGGUCUGAGAGGAUGAUCAGCCACACUGGGACUGAGACACGGCCCAGACUCCUACGGGAGGCAACAGUGGGGAAUAUUGGACAAUGGGCGCAAGCCUGAUCCAGCCAUGCCGCGUGAGUGAUGAAGGCCUUCGGGUUGUAAAGCUCUUUCGCACACGACGAUGAUGACGGUAGUGUGAGAAGAAGCCCCGGCUAACUUCGUGCCAGCCGCCGCCGUAAGAC
rnacentral:rRNA from 1 species